ensembl:lncRNA
GGACUCCACAAGACCUCUGAAGAUGUGCUGUGGUAUCUGGCACUGAGACGUUAGCAGCAGAUCCUUUAAAUCCUGACCUAAGGUUUCACAGCAGAACAUCGCCCAGAGCAUCACACUGCCUCCACUGGCUCGCCUUCUUCCCAUCCUGGUGCAUCCUAGUGCCAUCUUGUCCUCAGGUAAACGACAUACACGCACCCGACCUUCCACAUGAUGUAAAAGAAAACGUGAUUCAUCAGACCAGGCUUUAAGGUCCAGUUCUGAUGUUCACCUGCUCAUUGUAGUCACUUUCAGAUAUGGACAGAGGUCAGCAUGGGUACCCUGACUGGUCUGUGGCUACACAGCCCCAUAGGCAUCAAGC